rnacentral:misc_RNA from 1 species
UAGCUNUUAUUCGCUGAUGGUACUGCGAGUUCGCGGGAGAGUAAGUUAUUGCCAGGGUUUUUUAUAUUUUAAAUCUUAUUUUGUUCUUAAAAUUUUCAUAUUUUAGAAUAUUUUAUCCAAAUAAAAUAAAAAGUAAAUGGGUAUUGACAUAGAGUAAACAAAGAUAUAUAUUAUUCUAUGUUGCAUAAACAAAUUGGCAAAAUAGAGAUGGAANAUAAAAAUAUGGUCAAAGUAAUAAGAGUCUAUGGUGAAUGCCUAGGAGCUUUAAGGC